GAGCAAGGAUAAGAUGCCAUUCCCCAAGGAUGCCUGGAUCAGUCAAGAGUCACAAGCCUGUCCACAGUGAUUGUCUCCUUUUCACAGACUAAACAACACCAAGUUGCACCCACAUCAAAGCAGCUAAUCUCCUGAUGUCCCAAGAUACCACAUACGUUCAGAAUGGCCCUGCGGACGAGACCCUGACAAGGUUGGCUCCAUGCGGUCCGGUUUGCACAAGGCUUCGGGGUGGUCGCAAUACCUGAGAGGGGUACGUACUAUCACAGGAAGGCCCCAGGCAGUGCCGCCAGGAAGAGGGUUUCUUCCCCGGCUCGCAGCGUCUCUCAGCCACCGUCUUGCAGCUCCUUGUGUGGACACAGUCCACCUUCCGAGACUGGAAGCCCUGACCACAGGCUGACGUACAGGGCCUCCAAGGGCCUGCGUGCCAACAUGCAUCACGAGCCCCCGACGAGCAGUUCCUCCAAAAGGAAACUCAUCUGCAUUGUUCCUGGCUGACUAAGCAAAGUGGUGGAGGAAUCACAACCUCAAUAGAGGCAAGCAAACCACGUGUUUCCAUGAGCCUCCGGCACCACAUCAAGGCACGCACCUCAAAAGACACACUCUCCUGAUGAGCUGGAGCAGAUCGAUUUAGGCAAGGAAGAGAAGAAUGACACAUUUGUUGACAACCUGUAAGCUCCGUUUAUAUAAGCACUUGAAAUAUAUUCUGCUAUGAGUAUGCAUUUGUUUGUGAGCAAUCUUCUCCGCUAUGAGGAGUGCUCUAGUUUACAUUUAGGACACACUAUAACUCGUAGUGAGAGCUAACAAAGACCUUUUGGGAAGAGGGAUCUCUCUCUAGCCUUCUUACCCUUUAAAACAGAACAGAAAGUUAAU